rnacentral:rRNA from 1 species
GACGAACGCUGGCGGCGUGCUUAACACAUGCAAGUCGAACGGAAAGGCCCUGCUUUUGUGGGGUGCUCGAGUGGCGAACGGGUGAGUAACACGUGAGUAACCUGCCCUUGACUUUGGGAUAACUUCAGGAAACUGGGGCUAAUACCGGAUAGUAGCUCCUGCUGCAUGGUGGGUGUUGGAAAGUUUCGGCGGUUGGGGAUGGACUCGCGGCUUAUCAGCUUGUUGGUGGGGUAGUGGCUUACCAAGGCUUUGACGGGUAGCCGGCCUGAGAGGGUGGCCGGCCACAUUGGGAAUGAGAUAAGGCCCAGACUCCUACGGGAGGCAGCAGUGGGGAAUAUUGAACAAUGGGCGGAAGCCUGAUGCAGCAACGCCGCGUGCGGGAUGACGGCCUUCGGGUUGUAAACCGCUUUCGCCUGUGACGAAGAGUGAGUGACGGUAAUGGGUAAAGAAGCACCGGCUAACUACGUG